GACGAACGCUGGCGGCGUGCUUAACACAUGCAAGUCGAACGGAAAGGCCCUUCGGGGUACUCGAGUGGCGAACGGGUGAGUAACACGUGGGUGAUCUGCCCUGCACUUUGGGAUAAGCCUGGGAAACUGGGUCUAAUACCGAAUAGGACCACGCGCUUCAUGGUGUGUGGUGGAAAGCUUUUGCGGUGUGGGAUGGGCCCGCGGCCUAUCAGCUUGUUGGUGGGGUAAUGGCCUACCAAGGCGACGACGGGUAGCCGGCCUGAGAGGAUGACCGGCCACACUGGGACUGAGAUACGGCCCAGACUCCUACGGGAGGCAGCAGUGGGGAAUAUUGCACAAUGGGCGCAAGCCUGAUGCAGCGACGCCGCGUGAGGGAUGACGGCCUUCGGGUUGUAAACCUCUUUCAAUAGGGACGAAGCGCAAGUGACGGUACCUAUAGAAGAAGCACCGGCCAACUACGUG
rnacentral:rRNA from 1 species